AUGCCUUUCUCAAUUGAAAUGUGGGGGUUGAUCCCUUCACCUAUUGUUACGUCAAUCUCUCCUUAACUCGGUCUGAACUGACGUUAAUCACUGAAUCGGGUCAUUUAGAUCAUCCUCUUUUGCCCUUACCUCGGCGUAAUAGGAGUCGUGGAUCUAUUCCUAUGUGGUGGGGGUACUUAUGAGCCUGCUGAGCAAUUUUUUGGUUGCCUUUGAUCCAUUCCUGUUUAACUCAUUUUGAAAGGCUGCUACUACCAUCCCCUCUGACAUGUUUGGCAAGCUCAUCCUUACUCUGUUAAACCGUUCCACGAAGUCCCGAAGUCUUUCGCCCGCCGUUUGACUGACGGCAAAGAUAUCAUUGACCCUGGCUUCAUCCUUCUUCGCCCCUGAUGAGUGGUGGCGAAUUUAUCCGUCAUCUCU
rnacentral:lncRNA from 1 species